rnacentral:rRNA from 1 species
AUUGAACGCUGGCGGCAGGCCUAACACAUGCAAGUCGAGCGGAUGAAGGGAGCUUGCUCCUGGAUUCAGCGGCGGACGGGUGAGUAAUGCCUAGGAAUCUGCCUGGUAGUGGGGGAUAACGUCCGGAAACGGGCGCUAAUACCGCAUACGUCCUGAGGGAGAAAGUGGGGGAUCUUCGGACCUCACGCUAUCAGAUGAGCCUAGGUCGGAUUAGCUAGUUGGUGGGGUAAAGGCCCACCAAGGCGACGAUCCGUAACUGGUCUGAGAGGGUGAUCAGUCACACUGGAACUGAGACACGGUCCAGACUCCUACGGGAGGCAGCAGUGGGGAAGAUUGGACGAUGGGCGAAAUCCUGAUCCAGCCAUGCCGCGUGUGUGAAGAAAGUCUUCGGAUUGUAAAACACUUUAAGUUGGGAGGAAGGGCAGUAAGUUAAUACCUUGCUGUUUUGACGUUACCAACAGAAUAAGCACCGGCUAACUUCGUG